rnacentral:rRNA from 1 species
UGGGGAAUUUUCCGCAAUGGGCGCAAGCCUGACGGAGCAAUACCGCGUGAGGGAGGAAGGCUUUUGGGUUGUAAACCUCUUUUCUCAAGGAAGAAGUCCUGACGGUACUUGAGGAAUCAGCAUCGGCUAACUCCGUGCCAGCAGCCGCGGUAAGACGGAGGAGGCAAGCGUUAUCCGGAAUUAUUGGGCGUAAAGCGUCCGCAGGUGGCCUUUCAAGUCUGCUGUUAAAGCCCAGGGCUCAACUCUGGAUCAGCAGUGGAAACUGAAAGGCUAGAGUACGGUAGGGGUAGAGGGAAUUCCCAGUGUAGCGGUGAAAUGCGUAGAUAUUGGGAAGAACACCAGUGGCGAAGGCGCUCUGCUGGGCCGUAACUGACACUCAUGGACGAAAGCUAGGGGAGCGAAAGGGAUUAGAUACCCCGGUAGUCC